AUAUAUUUUAUCUUUAAUAGCUAACUUUUAGCAAUGACAGCAAAGUUCAAACUAGCUACUGAUAUUUAGCUGAUAAUGCUAAUCAUUUUUUUACGUGUAUAUUUGCUAUGCACUCUAUCAAUCUCAGUACACACAACUGUCAAAAUAUACAAUGACAGCAGGUUGCAAAGUAAGCGCAAUGACAGAACCAAUCAGAAUCGCAGAUAAAAUGUUUCAAACUUCGAUAUAGAUGUGAGUAUCGAUGUCAUGCAUUUUUAUACAAAAGAUAUGAAUCAAGUAGUCUAAAUUUUUUUUGUAGAAUUUUGGACGGAAAAGCAACAAAAUUCUGUUUAUUAAAAAAACUUCUUUUGUGGCAGAUAAUACGCUGUAAAUGGAAGUUUAAAAAUUUGCCUGAAAAGGUGCGGCUAAACAAGUGUCAUGCAUACCAAAAAUAAAUUGACAAAUGACAUGGAAGUUUAUUUAUUGCAAUGUCUGUUGCUUCUUGCAAGACAAUAUUUGCGAUAACAGGGGAUUACGGGCAACCCAUCGGGAUGCCAAAAACCUGCUUGUAAAACACGUUGUUAAAAGAGAAGUAAGUGGAAUAUAUGCAAAACUAGUCGAACCGAGAUAAGAAAUUCAUCUUUAGGUAUAUGAACAUUUUUUGAUAGGUCGUUCCAUCUUUUUGAUAUGCUCUCCAUGGCCAAAUCUGUUGGGAUAUUUGUAAACAACGAUACAGCAUUCAAAGAUGCUAAUUUACAAUUAAAUUCUAAACAUAGUCCAUCAAGAUUGUUAAUUAAAUGAAAGCUGUUUUCAACGUAGCUAUAUAGGCGCCUUUGGUAUGUUGCCACUGAUGAUAUUACGUAAGUAUAAAAGGCUAAAGCGUAUAAUAAACUCGAAGAUAAUUCUAAGCGGAUUAUUCGGCUUGUGAAUUUUUGGCAACUCGUAAGCUCUAGAAAUUAGAAAUAAUCCUGCCAGUGUUCAACAAUCCCUUAUAAGUGUGCUUAUCUAUAUAUAUAAAUCUAUAUAUAUAUAAAUUUAUUUCUUUUCCAUCCAGUUAGAAGAAAACGCAAACCAUUAAUAAGUUCUUUUGUUGGACCUUUCUCAAUAAUUUAUAAUCAAUACUUUAUGUAACAUUUUUUUCUUAUUUCCACUUGUAGAAUAUACUUUCGCAGUUUAGCCGUUCAAUCCUAAGACAUUCUGCAUGAAUGAAAUACAUUAAUAGCUCAAUUUAUGUUCCUACCAAUGCAAAUUCGUGGACCUUCUCCAAAUGGCAAAUAAGCAUAAGGAUGCCUUUUUGCUACUUUGUCUGCAUUAAAUCGUUCGGGAUCAAAUUUAUCUGGAUCUGGAUAUAUUGACGGAUCUCGAUGUAGUCCAAGUACC